rnacentral:rRNA from 1 species
UACGUAGGGUGCGAGCGUUGUCCGGAAUUACUGGGCGUAAAGAGUUCGUAGGUGGUUUGUCGCGUUGUCCGUGAAAUUCCCUGGCUUAACUGGGGGCGUGCGGGCGAUACGGGCAGACUGGAGUACGUGCAGGGGAGACUGGGAAUUCCUGGGUAUAGCGGUGGAAUGCGCAGAUAUCAGGGAGGGAACACCGGUGGGCGAAGGCGGGUCUCUGGGCAGUAAACUGACGCUGG